rnacentral:rRNA from 1 species
CCUACGGGAGGCAGCAGUGAGGAAUAUUGGUCAAUGGACGAGAGUCUGAACCAGCCAAGUAGCGUGAAGGAUGACUGCCCUAUGGGUUGUAAACUUCUUUUAUAUGGGAAUAAAAUGUUCCACGUGUGGGAUUUUGUAUGUCCCAUAUGAAUAAGGCUCGGCUAACUCCGUGCCAGCAGCCGCGGUAAUACGGAGGAUCCGAGCGUUAUCCGGAUUUAUUGGGUUUAAAGGGAGCGUAGGUGGAUUGUUAAGUCAGUUGUGAAAGUUUGCGGCUCAACCGUAAAAUUGCAGUUGAAACUGGCAGUCUUGAGUACAGUAGAGGUGGGCGGAAUUCGUGGUGUAGCGGUGAAAUGCUUAGAUAUCACGAAGAACUCCGAUUGCGAAGGCAGUUCACUGGACUGCAACUGACACUGAGGCUCGAAAGUGUGGGUAUCAAACAGGAUUAGAUACCCUUGUAGUC